rnacentral:lncRNA from 1 species
GCUGUAGUCUCCCCGGGACUGGCGAGCGCAACCCCGGGUUAUUCGGGUAGGUUUGCUGUGUGCGGGUUCCUGCAGAUCCAGGGCAAGCUAGAACGUUACUUCACGGCUGCGUCUGCCCGGCUUGUGUAAAAGUUGUCACGGUUCAUGCGUCCAUUGCGUGAGUCACCGUAGACUCUUAAAGGCAACAGAUUCGGGAUGACCCUUGCGAUUGCUUUGAAACAACUCGCGGGUUGAACGCAAACAUGAGUUGUAGAGGAUUUAAUUUUUAACCCGUUUUGCCUUCCGGUUACUCUGUGACCGAAUUAGUGCUAGAUUGCUAGCCGCACACCUUGACUAGACGCUAGGGUAAAAGCUCAGAAAAGCAGUAACUUCCUUGGUGGUUUCCAGAGAGGCAGGAAUAGUGCAAUGAUUAGGCCAGCAGCACCCUAGAGAUUUUUACCUCAGGCUUCUCACAGUCCUGGCCUGAUAACGUUCCUGUAUGGUUUUGUUUCAAAAUGAGUGGCCGCUAUUUAGAACAAAGUAUCAAAUUUUGCGUAAAAUCGAACACGUCUGCAAGUAAGACCCACCACUUUUGAAAGAAGCGUAUGGGGGUGAAGUGGUGUCGAGGGCUUGAGUAUUUGACUGGCACAAAAGGUUUAAAGAAGGGUGGGAAAAUGUCUGAGAUGAUCCAUGAAGUAGUCGUCCAGUCACCCACAGAACGGAUGCAAAUAUCCAAAAGGUCACGGACUUUGUGUGAACAAGCAGUUAACAGUGAGAAGGAUGGCUGAAGAAAUUACAUUUAGAGAAAGAAACCAUUAGAUUCAUUCUGAAAGGAAACCUGAACACGAGAAAAACGUCUGUCAAAGCUAUAGCAAGUAUUUUGAAGGAUCAGCCUGAACUUGGGGAAAUUUGAGUGUCCAUCUGGUCAUUCAAAGGAAAUUAAGAACGCUAGUUUAUAGGUGAGGGAAAAGAGGACAAGUUCUGAGAUGUGGAGUUAGCUGCAGCAGAGUGCUGAUGAGGAAAUGGCUCUGCCUGUGUAGAAUCCCAGAAGUCGGGCCCCUGCCAGCCACCUUCUGCAGGGAGCAUGCUCAGAGAGUAGGAGAUCUGACGACUGCUACGGUAUCAGACAUGGAGAUGCAGCGUUUGGAGUUUGCCCAGCUGGUUUCCUGUCUUGCUAUUGGGAUUACAAUAAAGUGAUUGGAUGAAUCUCAGAAGAGACUUUGAACUUUUUUUUAAAAGAUUUUAUUUAUUUAUUUUAUGUAUAUGAGUACGCUGUAGCUGUCUUCAGACACACCAGAAGAGGGCAUUGGAUCCCAUUACAGAUGGUUGUGAGCCACCAUGUGGUUGCUGGGAAUUGAACUCAGGACCUCUGGAAGAGCAGUCAGAUCUAACCAUUGAGCCAUCUCUCCAGCAACUCUGAACUUUUAACAUUGUUGAGCUGCUAUAGACUGGGGACUCUGGAAAUUAGACUAAAUGUAUUUUGUAUUAUGCUAUGUUUAGCUGUGGCCCUUAUAGCCUCAUAUGUUUGAACAAGUCUGUGGGGGCCAGGGAGUGAAAUGUGAUGGUUUGUAUGUGCUUGGCCCAGGGAGUGACCCUAUUAGGAGGUGUGGCCUUUAGCAGAUGUGUAACUGUGGGUGUGGGCUUAAGACCCUAACCCUACCUGCCUGGAAGUCAGUCUUCCACUAACAGCCUUCAGAUGAAGAUGGAGAACUCUCAGCUUCUGCACCAUGCCUGCCUGGAUGCUGCCAUGUCCCCGCCUUGAUGAUAAUGGACUAAACCUCUAAACCUAUAAGCCAGCCCCAAUGAAAUGUUGGCCUUUUUAAGACUUGCCUUGGUCAUGGUGUCUGUUCACAGCAGUAAAACGCUAAGACACCCAGCAGUAGUCAAACAGCAGCAGGAUGUCUCAGGUUUGGGGGAAGAGGAAUUACCGCCCUAACUUAGUCCAGAGCAAAGCACUUUGAAAUGGCUGUGCACCGUCAAUGAACACGACAGAGAUCAUAAUGACCUAGGUGGCAGAAGAGUUCCCACUAACUCUGAAGUGCCUGCUUGCUGUCCUGUCCUGGACCUUACUUCACAGCUCUCUUAGGUUCCUAAUUCUGUACACUCAGAUCCAGCCAUGAUCCCAUAUCUCAGUGUUUUCUCAGUGCCCUGCAGACACUCAUUUUCUUGUCUAGCUUGCUCUUGGUUCUCAGAUUCCCUGUUGUUUGAUUCUGGGCCACCCUUCCAGGUGUGUCUGCUUUGGGGCUUUGGUUUGGUACGCAUUUCCACUCACACAGCUCUCUCCUUUCUGAUUUUUGGGCCCGUGUUCCUGCCCAUGACUUAAGCUGUGGUCCAGACAUGUGGAGCAGAGAGUUCUUCAGCCCUGGCUCUAAAUUGUCUUCCUGUAAUUCAAGAAAUGGGAUAGGGAGGGAUGGCAUAGAGGCUAAUGACCAAGCCCUGCUACCAUUAGCAAGCCCAGUAUAAUCAGUAUUACCCAGUUUCUCAAGGCUUGGUUACCUCUAGAAGCCUUUCCAAACCUUAACAUCUAUAUAACAACUCUAUUUUUCCCAGGUCAGUGGGGCCUGGCUGGCUGUGGCUGUCAACAGAGCUGGCCAUCUGCAUACCUUGACCCAUUCUCAAGCUUGCUAAUGUGUGGCUUCCCAAUUGACCUUACUCCCCACCCUCACGUCCACACCUAUUCCAUGUAGUUUCUUGUGCCUCUGCUAACAGUCUAGGAGGAAUAGGUCCUGUCGAGGAAAGAUCACCUCAUCUUGCUUCAUAUGAUCCCCAAAGUAAAGAAUCACCUGUUUACCAAAUUUGUGACUUGGGGGAAAAAAAACCCCACAAAGAUGGUAGUCUCCUAAAUUUUGUCCCUGUCUGAGUGAUUGAAAUGACAACAUCAAGAUGAACGUAGUAUAUGCCUGCAGUCCCAGCACUAGGAGGCUAAGGCAGAAGUGUGGGUUCAAAUCCAUCCUGGGCAACAUAGUAAAGACCCUAUUUCAAAAAAGAAGGGGAAAAAGGAAGCUCUCUCAUUUGGGAAGAAGGGUUGUAGUCCUACAUCCUGCUUUCUAGAGUGUUCUUUCAGAUCCAUUUCCUGUUCUCAGUCCACAUUUGCUGUGGAGAUGUCUGGAAGGAUCUGGAUGGAAAAUGACUUGAAGACACUUAAUAAAGGAGCAGAGUGCUGCUGAGGAGCUGCCACUGUGCUGCACACACUGCUCAGACUGCCUGCUGUUUCCAGAUGUGCCGCCAGCAUGUCUCACUAGGCUCUGGGGACAGUGUCCCAGGUCCCAGGUUUCUCAAUGAGCAAGAGCCUGUUUUAGCUUUUGAACUGUGUGCCUGCUCACACUGCAGUCUCCAGGUGAAGCUUCAGUUUGAUCAGCCCUCCUCAAUUUUCUAGGCUUUUGCAUCUUAUCCUAGGCAGCCAUGCAUUGUUCUGUGAUCUCUGCCUUGUCUGAUCCUGGUAAUGUGGUACCGCUUGUAUCACACUUCACCCCAUAAUAAUACCUACAAACAAAUCUGAUGGGGGCCCUUCCAAGGACCCACUUGGGCCUAGUGCAGUUGUCAGCAGACUGUAUAGGAAACACUAUAUUUUGUGAGCCAUCCAGUUUCUUAGUACAAAAGCAGACAGAGCUCAUAUGGAAACAUGAGUGUGGCUGCGUUCCAGUGAAACUAUAAAUGGAUCUUGGAAUUGGAAUUUCAUAGUUUUCAUAAAAUAUUUUGAUUUCUUCCCCCAGUCAUUUUUAAAUUCAAAAAAAAAAUUUUUUUUAAAAAUGGGGACCAGAGGCAAAGAGUGGUAAACCACAUUAGCCUGUGGGCCGAAGUUUGCAUGUCCCUGUCUAGUGUGCAUAAAGUAUGUAUAGAAGAAUGACAGGUGAGUGAUAGUUUUCCAUUAAUAACACUGUCCAUGCCAAGUCAGUCUGGCAUCGUCUCACAACUUACUCUCUAGAAAAUAUGGCACAUUGGAAUGAGUGUGAGGCCAGGAGAACACAGGCUUGGCCACAUACAGAUUCACAAAAUGAAUUUUUUUUUCACUAAAACUUGUAUUAAACAAACUACCAUCUACAUCAUUCCUGUGGUUUAUCUCAAAACCUAUUUGGCAAUUCUGAAAGUGAUGUCAUGUUGCAAUGAGCAGUAAGGAAGAGAACUUCAGUCAUUCCAGAAAUGACUUGACCGUGGGCAGCGUUUGAAUCCAUUGAUGUCAUCACCUAUUAAAGCGUGUGCUGUAGAGGUGACAAGAUUCCACCACAGUAUAUUUUUUUGCAAGCGUAUUAAAAAAACAAACAAACAAACCAAUUGUAUAAGUACUUUUGACCAGUGCUAGGGUGUGCCCUUUUAGAUGAGUCUGUUUGUAUUUACCCUAGAUAGAGCUUUACUGUUGCCUUCAUUGGGACUGUUUUUCCAUUGCUGUGGUAGACUUUCAGGACUGAGCAGACCUUUACAAGACUAAUCAGAAAGUCAGUGUUUCCCAGGAUCCAGAAGUGACCAAACCCUGCAGCAGCCAUCUGAAAGGAGAUUCUGUGUUAAUUCACUCAGCAGAUGUUUACUGAAUGGUACAUAUGCCACGCACUGUCCUCCAAGUGCAACACAGCGGUGGACAGAAGCGCUCCCAGCCUUGGAUUUGGCCGUCUGACAUCUGAUUGUCUUCCUGUUGAACUCUGCUGUCUCGUGUGCUCACACUAACUCACUGUUAACUGCAUACCUGGAGAUAGAGAUGACCCUUGCCAUAGGCCUCUGUGCCAGAAGUCACUGUGCCUCUCCAGCUUCAUUAAUAACCCAAGGACUGGAUGUUCCACUUAAAUUUUAUUAUCCUUUACAUAGAUCCAUAUUGGUAGAAAAAAAUAUGCUGGCAGUGUUGGAAGUGUAAAUUGGCAACAGCUUUCUGAAAGGCAAUUUGGCACUAUCUGUGGGGAGCUUUAGAAAUGUUUGUGUCCCCUGAUCCUCUAAGUCCACUUCUGGGAAUCUGUCCUAAGGAAACAGUCUAAAAUACGGGCAAAAUUUAUGCUUAAUAAUCUGAAAGUCUAACAGCAGAAAUUGGUUAAAUAAAUUACAGUCUGACUAUAAUAGGCUAGUAUACAGUCAUGCUAAUGAAGAGUAUUCAACAGCUUAGUGGAAAUGCUUGUGAUGUUUAAAAAGAUAAAAAUUAUAUGCAUAAAUUUUAAAAAGUUGGGGUGUUUUGUUUUUUAAAGAUUUAUUUAUUUAAUGUGUGUGAGUGCUCUGUCUGCCUAUACACCUAUGUACCAGAAGAGGGCAUUAGAUCCCAUUACAGAUGGUCAUGAGCCACCGUGUGGUUGCUGGGAAUUGGACUCCAGAUCUCUGGAAGAGCAGCCAGUGCUCCUAACAGCUGACCUAUCUCUCCAGGACCCCCCACCCCUGCCAAGUUUUUUAAGUGCCUAGAAAGGAUUUGUCAACUCUUGAGUUGUUGACGUUUAUAUAUCUUUGUUUAUAUGUUUUUAAAAUAUUUUCUCUAAAAUUAGUACAAUUAAAAUAGCAUCAAAAUUUAGCAGCUGAGAGAUUGAGGCCCCACCACUAGUUUGGUUCAUGAAUAAUUAACUGGCUUGGUCACAUGGAGGCUGCAUGGUAUUGUAUUGGCAGCCAAAGUGGGACAGAAAGGAAAAGGACCCAUGUCCUAAAAGGUUGUGAUUGAGACCUCUCAAAAAGCCAAUGUGGUUAUGAACACACAAGUGGCACAUUUCUAGUAUGUGGCCCUAGGGAGGAGAAAAGGAGACUUUCUGGAAAGUCUUUGAGCCUUCCUCAGAGCUUUAGUGCUAAGAAUAGCUUUCAGUGUGCUAUUGAUAUUAAGUCUGCUGGCACCCUUAGGACAUGCAGGGAGCAUGGCUUCGAGCUGUAAUAUUUGUUUUACAUUGAGAAGACUACAAAAACAUAAGACAUGUAACAUUGUGACUUAAAGAACUCUUGACAUUCAAAAGUGUCACUUCAUUGUUGUCUGGAAUUACUGUACAUGAUUAUGUUGGGGUUUUUUAUGUUGUAUUUUUUUAAGAUUUAUUUUUAAUUAUUUGGGGAUGGGUGGUUAUGUGCAUAUGAGUAUGGGUACCUGUGGUGGGCAAGGUGUAGUGCAGAAGGGGAGGUCAGCUUCCCUGGAGCUGGAGUUGUGAAGAGGUGGUUGUGAACUGCAUGCGGUGGAUGCUGGGAACUGAACUCAGGUUCUUGGCAAGAGCUGCAAGCCCUCUUCACCAGUGAGCUGUCUCUUCAUCCCCUAUACUGUAGAGUUUUAAGUAACAACAAACUAUGGAGUUAAUGUCGCCCCAGAAAUGAAACUAAAAUGUGCAUUUUGUCAUUGCUUCGGUAAAAUGAAAAUAUUUGCUGUAUCACUUUAGUAAGCUUCCAAGCCCAUAAAUGAGUACACCACAUAAACGGCCAUGAUUUAGAGGUCCUCGGGCUAUAGAUUCCGUGAACUGUACGAGUUCCUCGGUGCCUAAGUGUUAUUCCUGCUGUGUCUAGAAAGAGUAAGGGUGGGGCUCAGGCUUUGCUUCUGGCUCCUCAGCUGGCCCUGGACUGAAUGGUGUAUCUGCACCCAGAGUACCCGUUUGUAAGGGGAAGAAUACCAUAGACCUUGUGCAUUGUCCAUUUCUCCAUUCAACAAAUACUCCGUGCUUAUACAAGCCUGUCACUGUUCUAGACAGAUAUGGUAAUACACAAAAAAAUAUGUGUGCACAUCCAUUUACGUGGGGGAAAUGAGUCAAAAAUAGAGCACCUUUAUGCGACUCUUGGGCUGAAUAACACGAGGCGCAGGGCAGAAAGCCUGGCAUGUAGUUCAGUGCUCCAUUGUCUUACAGCUCCUAGGUACUCUACACCACGGUAGAAAAGCAGCAAAAAGUGUGCCUCAUUCAUUACAGCAUUCAGUCUCUGACUAGUUACUACCUAAGCCACUUUUAUCAAGACAAAUUCUUACACGUCGUGUGAUUCUGACUGUACUUCUAGAGUGACAGAUUAAUCCAGGUGGGACCCAAGUCCCUAAAGGUGACCUUUUUUGGAGCUAGUUGUUAAGAGUCUUUAUAUGGAGCUAGAUGGCAGGUGUUAGGUCCACAAACUCAGUGUUGUUGUCCUCUAAGCACUACCUGUACAAUCAUUUUAAUAGUUGUCCUUUUUAAGAAAAACCACACUCUAGACACUGGAGAAGCAAGCAGUACUUAAAAUGCUAGAAGAAUUGACUACAGUGUUGUUAUGGGAAACAAGGGUGACAAAAAGCCAGGAAAAAAAGAUUUUAACAUGUGCUUUGUUGAUAUUUUUGCUUGUUGAGAUUUAGAAAGUUGAGAAAUACAGAAACAGACAGAAGUUUGCCCCUGGCACUGGAGGCCUUCCUCAGCCCCAUAUCUGCCUCAGCUUCCUCCCUCCCAAUUGUCUAACAAAGAGCCACUUACUGAAUCUCUUUGGGAUUGGCCUGUAGACACAGACAUAGCCCUUGCCCUUGGCUACUGACUAACAUUGUGGGAUGAAGGAAAAUGACCAACUCUGGAAGGUAUACCCACUGUGGUUCUUGCCUUAGCAGACUAAUCUUUCCCAGAAUAAAAUUAUCAGUACCCAAUUUUUAUAAUACAAAAAAUAGAAAGUUGGAAUUGCUACAUUUAAAGUAACUGUAUAAAUAAGAAAAUGGAUGUGAGAAGGCAGAGUGCACAGUGAAAUGAUAAUUGUUAAGCUCGUGCCAUUACUAGUUCCUCUUAAGUAGUGCAGCCCCCAAGCCUUGGCCACAAGGAACUGGUUUGAAAUAUUACCUCCUGGAAGAAACUAGACAUAGGCCUCACUUAAAGAAAGAGGUGCUGAUGAGACGGCUCAUCAGGUAAAGCCAAGCCUGAUGACCUGAGUUCAGUCCCUGGAUCCAGGGACACUCCCACGAUGGAAAUAAAGAUCCAACUCCCACGAUGUAUCCUCUGACUCUAUGUGUGGGCCAUAGCAUAAGCAUGCCUCUACACACACAUGGGGCUAAAAGAACCUAAUAAGUAAUAAAAUAACCUAAUAAGUAACUUCAGAAUUAAAGCCCAGAUUAGAUGAGCAAUAGGCCCGGGGAGAUUGGACAACUUCUUGAGUCACACACCUGCUUGAUGGCAGAGCUAGGAUGAUAAAGGAGCCCAAACUUAGCCAACUCAAGCCAAGCCAGGGAAGUGAUUUUUGCUUUGUUCUGUUUUGUUUUUCCUAUUGUGCCCUUGGUAAUAAUUCUCUUACUGAAAUGUUUGUUACGGUACCCUGCAUUGAAUGUCUAAUAAGAAUGAUCGUAGACAGUUUUUAAGGAAUAUGGUCAUCACCCAGAACAUCGUACAGAUGUUUCCCACAUCCCCUGGCUGUCCAGGUCCCCAGUCCUUUCACAGAUGUGAAUUUAUGAGGACAUGCUGGCAUUCUGUCAUCUGCCUUUUCCAUAGGUCUUCCCAAGUUGUGUGUUGCAUUUUUGUGGUUUUAACAUUUCUCAUGGACACGCCCAUGAAAAAUUUAAAACCUGGGUACAUAAAUUUUAUAAAGUACCACUUAUCUCUUCAGUGCUGGCUCAUAUUUCCAUGUUAGUAUUUAUGACACAGUAUGUGAAGUCAUGAAUAAGUCACAUAAUUUGAGCUCUUAUUCCCUAAACACCAACAUUGUAUUUCUGCAGGUUCUAAAAAUUCUUAACACUUCACUUAGAAACCCCACUAUAGCUUGCCACAAUGUUUCCAUAGUAACAGGUUUCAAACAGAAAAACAGGAAGCCGAGAGAGGACGGGGGAUGAUAUUAUCAGAGUACAUGGGGUGGUGUUGGGGCGCAGUCUGUGGAGUGAAUUCUCUGCUCUAGUUAGAAGGCUCCUGAGCAGAGUGACCUGCCAGCUUACCACAGGGAUUUGGGAUGCUGAGUUCAAUGUCUCCCUCAAUCACUGUCUUGGUUUUUGAGACAGGGUCUCUCACUGAUCCUGGAGGUCACUGAUCGGCUCCGGGAGAUUGGCUUUUGACUGUGACUGUCCUGGAGCUCAUAAUGUAGACCAGGCUAGCCUCAAAUUCACAGAGAUCUGCCUGCCUCUGCCCCUCUGAGUUCUGGAAUUAAAGGUGUGUGCCACCAUACCUGGCUUGCAUACUAUUUUAAAAUUACAUUUUCUCUCUCUCUCUCUCUCUCUCUCUCUCUGUCUCUCUCUUUGUGUGUGUGUGUGUGUGUGUGUACAUAUAUUCUACAGUAUGCAUGUGAAGUUCAGAAGACAGUUUAUGAAAGUAGGUUCUCUUCCUUCACCAUAUGAUUCCUGGAGACCAAACACAUGUUGUCAGGUCUGACAAGCACCUCUGUACCAGAGCCAUCUAACUGACCCUAGACAUACUAUUUUUAUUGUAACUAUAAAUAUCACUUUUAUAAUUACACAUUUAUGCAUAAUAAACACUAAAAUUACUUUUUGUUCUUUUUUAGAAAAAAUACACAUUUUAUGACAGGAAAAGUGAUCUGUCUCCAAGGAGCUGAUGACUCAAGGGAAGCAUGGGAUACACAAAUAAGUGUCUUGCACAGCAGUAAGGAUGAUAAUGGAAAUUUUACCCAGUGUGGGCGGAAGGAUCAACUCUGCCUGGGAGAGCUGUUCUUUGGUAAAACGAGGUGACCUUCGCACAGGCUCAUAAAGAUGACUAGAGUUCUCUGGAGCUUUGUAAAUGGUUAAGCACGGUAUAAAUGUAAGUUGGUCCUUGGCCUUCGUUAUUGCUGUCGAGGCUUACCUCAUAUAAAGCUCUCUUUCUUGUCUCUUUCCCAGGCUCCCCAAAGCCCAGGCUCCCUGGGCCAGGAAACGGCCACAGUUAAGCGGUCACACGUCAGUGCUGUAGCAAGCGAACUGAGGCGCAUCCAGAAGAUGCAGACUCAGACCCAGAGGCUGUAAAAUCACCUGGGAGCCGAGCCAGGAAGCCUCGGAGUGGGAAGCGCCCCUCCCCCCACCCCACCCCUCCCAGCGCCACCCUGUGGAAAGGCCUCCCUCCACCCUGAUGGAUGUGAGCAUCUAUACCUGGGGUAUGGUAAAAACUAAGAACGAGUAUCACACGUCAGUCUGUGAUUUACCCCGGCAGGAAAUGACGAGUUCCAUGUCUUAGGGCCUCCAGACAGGGCGGAGUGGAGAGCAGAGUAUGAGUCAGGGGACAGGAUGGAGGCGACGGAUGAUACGUUCUAGAUUAACAUUUUCUAGCAUCAAGUCCUCCUGGUCUCCUCCCUGGGGUCCCCAUCAUGUCACACUUCUCUGCCUUCCGGGAGGAGAUUGGAGGCCUUCUAAUAAUCCUCACUUGAAUUCCUCUGUGGAAAAAUGGUCAGAACAUCCUGUGUCGGUGACAGGACAUAUUAGCCCCUUGAUUACCGUGUGUCUUUGUUACUUACUCCCUUCAACACAUACAGGACACUCAAAAUAUGUUCUAGAUGAUAUGUCCUAAAUGUAAAAGUGAAGGAAAAGAUGGCCACGACCUCACACUCCCAUGGACUGGACUGGGUAUUUUUUUUUUUUUUUUUUUUUUUUUUUUUUUUAGUAUUUUGUUCUUGUUUUGGUAUUUCUUUUGUUUUUGUUUUGCUUCAAGACAGGAUUUCUCUGUGUAGUUCCAGGCUGUCCUGGAACUCACUCUGGAGACCAGGCUGGCCUUGAACACACAGAGAUCCACCUGUCCCUGCCUCCCAGUGCUGAGAUUGAAGGUGUCUGCACUAUUCUCAGCUUUAUUUGGUUUUUGAGACAUAGUCUCCUGUUCUCAGGUUGGCCUCAAACUUCCCAAAUAGCUAAGGCGGAUUCUUACCUCUUUUUUCCCCAAGUUUUUAAAAAUGUACUUCUAGUUUAUGUACAUAUUUGCCCUCAUGUAUGUAUGUGCACCAUGCUUGUCUGGUCCCAGCAGAAGCCAGAAGAAUGCAUCAGAUCCCCUAGAGCUGGAGUCAUAGUGCUCACGAGCUGCCACACAGGUGCUGGGAACUGACCUCAGAUCCUCUACCAGAGCGGCACUUGCUCUUAACUGCUGAGCCAUCUCUUCAGCCCUCUGAGCCACUGAUCUCUUGAUCUCUUACCUCUGCCUUCUACGUUCUGAAAUUACAGACAUACUCCACUAAGCCUAGCUGGAUCAGUAAUUUUUGCUAUGAGAAAUAUAGAAUUAAAUUUAAAAAUAAGAAAAUACCAGCUUGUAAAUACCAAGAAGGAGACAAUGGGCUACUAUUUUUAUUUCUGUGUUAGGGUUCAAAUCCAGGACCUUAGGGAACAUUAGACAAAUAUUCCUGGUGUUUGAGCUGCUAGUCUCUUAAAGAUGUACUACUUAUAAAUACAACUACCAAGGGCUAAGUUUUUAGCAUGGGAAGCUUUGGGAACCCAAAGACUCCAGCCAUAGCAGAAGAGUACCAUGUGUCAUGUAUGGUUGCCUUUCCUUCUUUGAAAUGACAAUAUUCUCACAUAUCAACUUUGGCGCAUGCAUUAUCUCUUCAGGAAAAUCUAUCCUGCUUUCCCAGGUAAAAUGCCCUACUUUUUAACUCCUUGCUAACCCUGUAUAAACUUGUGUCUGAAGGCCUGUAAUAAUUUGCCAUUAUUUUACUGACUGGCUGAUUUUGAGACUGUCCCAGUGUGGUCUCACACCUACCUCAUGUUGGCCUUGAACUUGAAUCUUCCUGUCCUAUGGUGGUGCUGGAAUUACAGGCACCACCACCAUGCUCACCUUGCUCUACUUACUAUGCUAGGUCACCACUAUUCUCCAGCAGGCAGCAGUCUCAUUCAAGGGUGGCCUGAGGGUCCCAUGUGUCUUAGUUACAAUUUCCAUUGCUGUAAAGAGACCAAAACAUAAGGAAAAUAUUUACUUGGGGCUGGCUCCCAGUCUCAGAGGUUUAUUCCAUCAUUAGCAUGGCAGGAAGCAUGGCAAUGUGCAAGCAGACAUGGUGCUGGAGCAGGAGCUGAGGAUUAACGUCUUAUCCACAGGCAGCAGGAGGAGCUGCCUCACACUGGACGAAGCUGGAGCAUAGGGAACCUCAGAGCCCACCCCCACAGUGACACACUUCCUCCAGCAAGGCCACACCUCCUAAUAGGGCUGCUGUCUAUGGGCCAAGCUUUCAAACACACGAAUCUAUGGGAGCCAAACCUAUUCAGAGUAUCACAUUGCACUCUCUGCUCCCCAUAGGCUUGUAGCUGUAACAUAAGGCAAAGUGCAUUUAGUCUAACUUCACAAGUCCCCAUAGUCUGUCACAGUCUCAACAAAUGUUUCAAAGUCUAAAGUUCAAAGUUUCUUCUGAGAUUCAUGGAAUCUCUUAACUGUAGAAUCAAAAAGCAGAUCACAUACUUCUAACAUAUCAUGGCACAGGAUAUACAUUACUGUUCCAAAAUGAAGGAAAGGGAGCAUAGAGAAGAAAUACUGGACCAAAGCAAGACUGAAAAUCACCAGGGCAAACUCCAAACUCUGCAUCUCCAUGUUUGACGUCGUAAUGCUCUGCAGAUCUCCCAACUCCUUUCAGCGUUUUUGACUCCAGCACACUUCUUUUCCUUGGGCUGGUUCUACUUUCUGUUAGCAGCUUUCCUCAGCAGUUAUCCCAUGGCUCUGGCAUCUCUAACAUCUUGGGAUCUCCAAGAUAAUCCAGGUUUUACCUUCACAACUUCAUGCAGUGACCUCUCUAGGCCUUCAUGCCUAGCUGCAGCAGCUUUCCUUAGUCUCCGAGGGAAAUUCCAUAACCCUGUUCACUCAGUGGCCUCUCCAGACCUCUAAGCAGGGACACCCCUGGCACAUUUCUGGCCUCAGCACCUUUCCUAAGUCACAGAGGGAAAUUCCACCCUUGAUUCUAAAGCCACAUGGCAGAAGCUGCCACAUUCUGCUGCUUGCUGGGGCCCUCACUUAGUCCCCUUGUUCAAUUGCAUCUUCCCCAGCUUUCUGUUUUCCAUGGUUUCCUUCACUGCUUAAGGUUGACUGUUCUGGAACUUGUCCUGUAGACUGACCUUGAACUCAGAGAUCUGCAUGCCUGUCUCCUGAGUGCUGGGAUUACAGGUGCAUAUCGCCAUGCCUGAACACAGGCUUUUCUUUACUUCUUUUUCAUUAUAGAUCUUUGUAAGCAUGACCACUAUGCCUCAAGAUCUGUGUAUAUGGAUCCAAAUCAAAAGCCUGUGUCUUCCAGCCUCAAGAUUCAGAUCAAAGGCAUGUUGCUUUCCUGCCUCAAGAUCCUGACCAGGUGUACACUCCAGUUCUGAUUUGUAGUUCAUCCCAGAUACAGUCAAAUUGACAACUGAGAAUAGCCAUCACGAUUAUCCAUUGUCAACACAAUUGGCAAUCAUACCUCCUUGUGUCUAAAUGAAAACAAGAACCAGGACAUAAUAAUGCAUAGCAUGAUAUAACUCUCCCUCCUAUAACCACAGGCACACUGUAAAUUGAGGCUAGGUGGCAGUGUCCUUUGGGGAGUAACCUUUUCACAAGGUGGAAGCUUACUUAGCUGAGUGAGAUCUUGCCCUGAGGUUACCACUUCCUUAAUUCCAUUUAACAUCUUUAAUCUGUUUUUCUCCUUGAACAUAGGAUUUAGCUCUAUUCCACUUCCUAGUGCGCUUUUGAUCCUUGGUCCAUACAUUUUUGAUCAAAAUACUCUUCUUAAGAGUGAACCACAGAACACAGUCAAUGCUUAGCUGUUUUGGGAUUUCUUUUGUCAAAGCAAUUAAUCUAAAUCUCUUCGUCAUAGUUUUAAGCAGACUCUUCGUACAAGGGCAAAAAGCAAGCACAUUCUUCACCAAAAUGUCACAAGAACAAUCUCUAGGCAACAUACUAAAGUUCUUCUCCUCUGAAACCUCAUGAGCCAGACUCCCACAGUUCAAGUCACCCUCAGCACCGCUGUCUUCCAUGCUUUUACUAGUAUGGCCCAUUGAGCUACGCUUAAAGCAUUCCAUUACUUUUCUAACCCCAAAUCCUAAAAUCACAUUCCUUCAAACAAAAACAUGGUCAAGCCUAUCAGAGCAAAUACCCCAGUCCCUGGUAUGAACUUUUGUCUUAGGGUUUCCAUUGUUGUGAAGAGAUACUAUGGCCAAGGCAAUUGCUAUAAGGAAAACAUUUCAUUGGUACUGAUUUACAGUUUCAGAAGUAGUCCGCUAUCAUCAUAGCAGAAAGCAUGGCAGCAUGUCGGUACACAUGGUGCUGAAGAAGGAGCUCAGAGUUCUUGGCCCACAGGCAGUAAGGAGGAACUGUCAAACAUUGGCUGGAGCUUGAGCACAGGAGACAACAAAGCCCAUACCCCACAGUGACACAGUGACACACUUCCUCCACACUGAUUUCAGUAAGGCCACACCUACUCUAGCAAGGCCAUACUUCCUAAUAGUGCCACUCUCUAUGGGCCAAGCAUGAACCAAUGGGGGACAAACCUAUGCAAACCACCAUACCAUAUACGUGUCCAGAACAGAGGCUAGCAUAGGACCCCUGAUCAGUGCUUAUUUAUUUCAGGAAUAAACAUAGAACUCUUAUCAGAACUUUACUGGUGAUAAUUUUAUUUUAGAUUGAUUAAUUUUACACAUGCAUGAGUGCUUUACCUCUUGCAUGCAUGUGUGUGGUAUGUGUGCCUGGUAAUCACAGAGAUCAGAAGAAAGUACCAGAUCCACUGGAACUGGGGUUAUGGGUGGUUGUAAGACAUGUGGGUGCUAGAAACUGAACCCAGGUCUUAUGAAGAACAGCAAGUGCUCUUAACUAUUGAGCCAUCUCUCCAACUCCCUGGUGUGUGAUAGUUUAUAUAUGCUUGGCCCUGGAAGUGGCACUAUUAGGAGGUGUGGCCUUGUUGGAGUAGGUGUGUCACUGUAGGCAUGGGCUUAAGACCCUCAUCCUAGCUGCCUGGAAGCCAGUAUUCUGCUAGCAGCCUUCAGAUGAAGAUGUAGAGCUCUCAGCUACUCCUGCAUCAUGCCUGCCUAGAUGCUCCUGCCUUGAUGAACUAAACCUGUAAGCCAGCCCCCAAUUAAAUGUCCUUUAUAAGACUUGCCUUGGUCAUGGUAUCUGUUCAAAGCAGUAAAAGCCUAUCUAAGGCAUGGUGCUUAUUUAAUUUAGACCUGAUCAGUGCUGAGCCUUGUGCUAUGUUCUUUCCAGCCUGCUAACUCUCGAGGUCUUCACAAGUGCCAUGUGCAGGACCACAUAAUAUACUGUCAUUAAAACUCAGUCAAAGGAAGGUCAUAAAUUCAAAUGAGAUACUUCUUUGAAUUCUUUUGCUUUUAUUUAUUUAUUGUUAUAUUUGUGGAUUAUGAGUGUGUGCCUGCAUGCAGCGGGAACUGGCUUCCCUAGAACCAGAGCUACAGAUGGGUCUGAGCUACCAUGUGCGUUCUUAGAAUUGAACCUGAGUCUUCUGGAAGAGCAGCAGUGCUCUUAGCAGCUGUGCCAUCUCUCCAGCCAUCUGAGAUUUGUUUUUAACAGGUAAAGUGUUUUGAGAUGUGUGUUUCUUCUCUAGUUAUGUGUAUGCAUAUUUGUCUGUGUUAUACAUGCAUAUGUGCAGGCACCCAAGGAGGCCAGGAACUAGUUCCCCUGGCACUAGAGCUACAGGGGGCCUGAGCUUCGCAGUGUGGGUUCUGGGAAUAGAACUCUUGUCUUGUUGAGACAAGAGCAGCAAGUGCUCUCAUCUGCUAAGCUAUCUCUCCUGUCUCCGAAAGCUAAAAUUUAAAUCCAAAUCCUCCUGAAACCAUAUUCUGAUGCUUCGACUUCUAUGUGAUUCGAUGCUACUAAGCUACACAUCAGUUUCUUUUGUGGACCCACCAUCUUUUCUCCCACCACUCCCUCUUUAUUUGACUCCAUGCCCUAUUUUCUAUGGUACCAGAACAGUGCUUGCUAUGUGAGAUGUGUCCUUUUUUUUUUCUUUUUUUCUUUUUUUUCUUUUGGUUUUCUUUUUCUUUCCUUCCUUUCUUUCUUCCUUCCUUUCUUUCUUUCUUUCUUUCUUUCUUUCUUUCUUUCCUUUUCCUUUUCCUUUUCCUUUUCCUUUUCCUUUUUUUCUUUUUCUUUUUGAGACAGGAGCUCACUAUGUAGCCAUGGCUGGUCUGAAACUAACUUUGUAAAUCAGGCUGACCUUAAAAUUCAGAGACUACUUGCUUCUGCUUCUGGAGUGCUGGUAUUAAAGUAAUACACCAUAAUACCAGAUAGCAUCUCUCUAGAUGCUGAGAUUAAAGGCAUGUACCCCCAUGCUUGGCUCACUCCAUGUAUCUUACUUAAAUCUCAAAAGAUUUUUGUUUGUUUGUUUUUGUUUUUUGAGACAGGGUUUCUCUGUGCAGCCCUGGCUGUCCUGGAACUCACUCUGUAGACCAGGCUGGUCUCGAACUCAGAAAUCCACCUGCCUCUGCCUCCCAGAUUCGGGGAUUAAAGGCGCGCACCACCACUGCCCGGCUCUCUAAAGAACCGAAGAGUACAUACUUCUGACAUCGGUUCAUAGGAUAGUGAGGGGCUGGAGGCAGGGCUCUUUUGAGGGUGUGCACCUUCCCAGUUAUCUCCAGGCAUCUUUCGGAUGAGGAGUCCUGAGGAUGUUCUCAGUGCUACCUAACUUGUAGGUCUUACCUCUUUUGCUCAGCUGUAUGGCUCAGUAAACAGGCAUGCGAGCAAGUCGGGCAGAGGGGAACAUGCCUGCUUUCCAGCGAGUUGGGAGAUUGAGGUUAGGUUUUGAUUCAGAUAAUUAUUUGUGUUUUCUGGGUCUGCAUGGUCGAUAAAUAUCCAACGAGCAGUGAUGCUGCCCCUCAUCUUUCAUUGCUUUAUGGGACCUCGGGGAAAGAAAGCAUAACAUCCUGCCUUCCCAUGAGUUCCCUGGCCGCUACCCUGGCACCGAUUAAAGACACGUCUAUGUGAUUAAUCAAAACCUGAUGUGGAAGAACUCUGGCGCUGCCCCUCUGAGGUGCUGCUGCGCCGUACACAGUAGUUCCGCAGCUUCGGUGGUGCAGCCAGCACAUAGGGGCUUUUGAUGAACUUGCUAUGCCUGCCCCAAGUGUUAACUAUGUCAUCUGACAUGACUAAUGAGGCUCCGGAUUUGAUCUGUGUAGAGCGGCCCUGCCGUCUAGAGGAGGCUCGGGUUCCACAGCCAGCCUGGAAAAGGCUGCAGUGUUGGCUACACACCUCCUCGUGUCAGCUGGAGUCUGGGAGGCCUCUAGUGUUGGAGCUAGGAGUUGUCCACCCGGAGAGGGAGAGCAAUGCUGUGCUGUGCCCUGGACUGGAUGCGACUUCUAGUUCAGCCUUUGUUUACAGAGAUGAAAACCAAGACCCAGUAAAAGUGAGGGGCUUGCCAGAGGCCUGAGCUUUGGACAGAGAAGUAAAGGAGGGGACACAGGUAAACACGUAUGAUGUCAAUGACUGGGAUCCAGUGCAAAUGCACCUAUGAAGGGUUCCAGUCUAGCCUGCUGUCCUUCCUUAGCAAAGUGUUAUGGGAGCGGGCUAGGUAGAGCCUCUGUGACCCCCAUAGUUCCAGGGAAGGGGGUGUGAAGUCAACAGAGCCGGGUUUGAGACAAUUUAAUAUUCAGCAGAUUGCUUUGGUUUUUUUUUUUUCCUGAGCUUUUGUUUCCUCAGCCAUACACUGCUUCCCGGCAUACUUCCUAGAGCCUUGUGAGACUUGGCAGUGUUAAUGGGUGUGAAAGAGUAAGCGCCUGCGGGUGCCAGUUACUACUCCUGUCAUUGCCCCCUCUCAGGCGCACAGGCAGAACUCUGCAGAAUAUGGACCCACAGGUACCCUUAGCUCUCUUCCUUUUCCUGCUUCUCCCAGAAUGCACAGGAAAGCGAGGGACAUAAAACCAACUGGUCACUUGCCUAAAAUCUCAAUAGCUUUCCCAGAAAGCUAUAAAGAGAAAGAACACGCCCACUUAGUGUCAUUCCACACAGUGAUUGAGCGCAUACCACAUGCCAGACAUUGGCCACCUUGAGAUGCCCGCAACUCAGUGAAGGGACCAGACAUGGACAUAAAUAACUAUAAUAUAUGGCAAAAAAAAAAAAAAUACAAAUCAAGAGCUUUUGGAGAAAGAGGAAGGAGGGGUGAUUCAUUUCCCAAAAGGAGGCUGGAAAAAGGAGUGUGAACUAUGUGUCAGGAGGCAAGGGAUUAACCUUGUUGGUAGUGCUCACCGAACACUCACGGUAUCCUGCUUUCUACCCAGAGUCCCAUAUAAACUGUCCAUGGCACUGUGUACCCAUAGUCCCAACUACUGUUGGAUGGAAGCAGGAAAAUUAGGAGCUGAAAGCCAGCCUGAGUUCCAUAAAACCCUGCAUCAAAAUAAAGAAAACAACAACAGGCUGAGGCAUUAUUGUCCAGGCAGGGGUUAGCUGUGUCAGAAACCACAAGAAAGAGCACUGCAGGUAGAGGGAAGGGUGUGAGGAUGGACAGCAUCCGGAAAGGGUUGGAAACUCACUCACAACACCCAGAUAAACUUCAGGUGGUUGGUGUUUCAGUGUCUGCUGGCUCAGGUCACCUUGGCCCCUGUCCUUCAAUAAGAAUCUUGCACAGGCCUUUCCUCUAGCAGGGCCACACUGGAGCCCCAGCCAGGAAGAGCCAGCAACAAAUGACCAGGGAGCAGCAAUCCCCAUCAGGUGUAAAAACCCCUAGGGAGGUGCUAGGCACAGCUGAAUUUCCCUGCCCAGGUCAGAACUUCUCACUGGCUGUGGCAACCAUUAGAGCCGAAUCCUCCCAGCCUAGACCACAUGGUAGCCUUUUCUCCUCUCUCUGUCUAGAAGCAGCUGAUUUUACAAGUGCUGCUAUCAGGAUAGCUCUGCUUCCAGACCCAGGGCUAACGCUUGACUCCAGACAUACCAUAUAGGAACUCAUGGGUUCCCAGUCUUUCUAUGAAUUGUUCUUAUUGUACAAAUAACACAAAAGUAAGAAAGAAAACUCAAACCACGAAUGAAAGAAGAGCAGCCACUCACUUGUGUGUGUGUGUGUGUGUUAUUCUUUGCCCUCCACCAUCUGGGAAUAGCCUGUGGCACUCAUACACUCUAUGUUCUCUUCUUACUGCCCAGCUCAUAUCAGUGGCUUCUCCUAGUUUUCUGUCCACUGCUAACCACACAGGUUUCUUCCCUGAGACAGAACUAACAUGCCAGAACCACACCAGGUAUGAUGAUGGUACAUUUUUAUAAUCCCACCAUUUAGGAAGCUGAAGCAGGAGGAUGGCUAGGUUGAAGCUAGCCUAAGCUGUGUAGUGGGGCACUGCCUCAAUAAAAUAAAAUAAAACAUAAUAUGAAGCUAGAAGAGGGAUAUGAAAGAGUGGCCUGGAAGAAAACGGGGUAGUCAUAAAGUAGGUUACGUGUACGAAAUCCUCCAAGAAUAGACAGUUAUAUUAAAGAGACUUCCCAUAGAUAUGCUAUGGUUUGGAUGUGACAUGCCUCCCCCCAAAUACCCACUAAUUUAUUGAAUUUAUUGGUCUAGCUGGUAGUCCUAUUUUGUCAGAUUCUGGAAAUCUUAGUAAGUGGACCUAGAUUUAAGAAAAUAAUAAUAAGUCAAUAUGCUAGAGUUCUUUGGGGAGCUGGUCCAUGGCCUCGCAUCUCUUUGCUUCCUGCCCAUCGGGAGGUGAAAGGCUUCCUCCUUCCCAUGUUCCCAUGGUCGCCCUGUUCAGCCUCACCUCGGCUCCUAAGGGAGCCAGUUGACCACAGACUGAAAAUAACCUGUUUCUCUCUUGACACUGUUUUAAGGAAUUUGGUAACAACCAUGGAAAGGUCACAGACAUACACAAUCUUCAGUGAUGACAACAUUAUGUCACAGAGUCAAAACAUUGCUGUGCCUUCACACUAACUUGAGUUAGGAUCUCAGCUUCUCUUUUCUGAGGUCAGCUGUUUCUAGGCAGAUCGUGCCAUCUCUUGGAGCCUCUGAGCCUUUUUGUAAGAUGAGAAUAGCAUUAGUACCACCAUAGUGGGAUUGCUGUGUCAUCGUGACAUCAGAAGAGGAGUUUGGGGGUGGAUGGGGGUGGGGAGGGUGGGAACUGGAGCGAUGGCUCAGUGCUUAAGAGCAGUCACUGCUCUUAGAGAGGACCCCUGUCCAGUUCCCUCCACCCACUUCUGGCAGCUUACAACUUCUAACUUAACUCUUCUAACUUCAGCCUCAAGGGAUCUCACGCCCCCUUCUGGCCUGCACCAGCACUGCACUCAUGCUCGCACAUACGCAGAGUUAAAAAUAGAAUCUCCUAGGUGCUCCUCGCUCGCUCACAUUGUCUUCUCUCCAGCCUCAGCCAGUGCCCUGCCUGAACCCUACCUAGCCUGGUCGUGCUGGCUGUUGGCCUCUCCUACUCACCGCAGCCAUACACUUCCGAGUUUCCUACACGUCACCUCUACCACAAGCUCUACCUCUGCUGUCCAAUCAACUUGCAGCUACUCUCAUGGAUCACGUGAGACAGGUGAGUUUGAUGUUAGCUGAAUAAGCCGGAACACCUGACCAAGCCAGACAGACGCCUAGGGAUUGAAUAAAGGCCUGAACCUGCUUGUUGGCUGUGAUCUGCGACUCAAGCCCAAUGAGAAAUCACCGAUGCUACUUUGCAGGCAUUCUGGAAGCAUAAUGAUUUUGCUAGUCCUGCUUGCAUCCUGGAGUUUGUUAUGGACAAAGAAGACCCCAUAAGGAAAUCUGCCUCUCUGGAACUGUGCCUACGAACAGUAAAAUUCCCCGUGGUGGGCUUUUUAAGCCUUUAUUGCCAUUGGUAUUAGAUGGAAGCAAUCACAUGGAAAUGUUUUAUUUGAGCAACAUUGCCUUUGAGAAUCAGACCAUGUAAUAGUAAGUUGGACUUUAAUAAAAGGAAAAUGAGUUUGGAUGG